UCGUGCACUGACACUACCCGGCCGGGGUGGCUGCCCCGAGCGCCGGCAUGCUGAAUAGGACAGGCUGCGCUGGUGGGCUCAGGGCCCAAGUCUGCACAGACACAGUGCACACUUUAAGGUAAAUGCCAGUUGUGGUAACGAUAUCAAAAUGAAUUCGUACAGAAUCCAAUGAAAUGACCACCAAAGUGUCUGUCUAUAUUUAUAAAUAAUAUACCGUAUGUGCCAAAGGAUUCUGGAAGAAAUUGUGUAAUUGCUGCGAAAUAAGCAAAAAAAGCACAGGAUUCGGGUCAACUCGAGCCAAGGCAAGCGUCGGGACAUUAAUCAGAGCAAUAAUAACUGUCCCACGUAGUCUUAUCUGUGUUGGUGAUCUUCAGUUUGAACAUUUUUCAGCGUAGAUUUCAAGAUUUCACAAAGUUCAGUUUAUGUAACUGUACCAGAUCUACAUGUAUACCCAGUUGUUGUGUGUCCGGACAUCAGGUUGUGUGUCCGGACGAUCAAUUUUAUUUAGAAAGCACAAAGAAGAAUUGUACAGGAAACCCGCGCAUGCGCAGUACGCUCGUUCGAUCGCCAGAGUAGUGCGUGACGUCAUGUUUCAUUCACAAAUCUUGAGCUGUGAUCUCAUUGGGUGUUUUGGCUCUCAUUUGCAUAUUUUCCCAUAAUACAAAACCUAUGUAGUGCGAGAAUUUUCUCUGCGAACCACCGAUCAACCUCAUACUAAACACGACGUAUUUCCUUCAAGAUUUCGAGUUGAAAAUCUCAUUUUCUUCAUACGGUGUAGCUACAUUACCUCGGAAAAUCUGAUGAUAUUUUGCGGACUUCUCGUCAUUUGCAUAUAAUCCGAAGAUGACUGACUGACACUGCUUGAAAGACUGUUGUUCACAAGACCCAAACGGAGCAAAGGUCGAGAGCUACAAGUUCAUAUCGCAUUUUACAACUGCUCAAGAAGGUGAAGGAUUGGGGAUCACUAAAUCAAGACGAUAUAAAAACAAUUUUAUUGUCUUAUGAGAUAAUCUUUCAACUUUAUUUUUACUUAAAAUUGAAUAAGUGAAUAAUUAAAAAAAGUUAUGAAUAUGAUGCUGAGAAGGGUCGAAAAACAGUUUCUGUUAACAAUGAUGCACUGUAAAAUGCUAUUUAUAUGUAUGGUCAUAAUAUUCUUGUGAUUUAUUUGUAAUUAAUUUAUGUAUUAUGUUGUUUCUUUGUUAAAAUAUAAUUCAAACAACGUUGUUUAAUAUGUGAAUUGCAUAGUAGUUGUUUAAACAUUUUAAGUGUUUAACAACUUUAUAAACAACAAAGUUUUAUAAACUCUAAUAUUUAAUUAUCAAUAAAUAAAGCAUGAUUGUUUCAGAUUUUAAACACUUUAUUAAACUGUUUAAACUACUAUGGGAUUCAUGUAGUAAACAGCAUUGUUUGAAUUAUUAUCAUAUGCUCAAUAAAUUCUUAUGCAUUAAAUUUGCCUUUAAUAAGAGUUUCCAGUUCAGUAUGAAUUAUUAAAAACAUGGAAUUCUGGAAGGACAUUCACUUUCACGGAAUAUAGUAAAACGCUGUUUUAACUAAAAAUUAUCAUGAAAAGAAUAAUGAAAAUCAUCAAGAUAAAUCAAAGCCAAACUGUAAAGUGUAAGCAAACCCUAUAUCAUGAUUUCUUUUAAUAAAGAUUUUAACAAUUUGCAACUGCAUCAACUUUACUAUUUUAAUGUCAGUUUAUUACACCAGUCACAUUUCCCCUAUACGGCGGCCGUACGGCAAGUCGAAAACGGCAGUUUAACAUUAUUUUGUACCAGUGUUGUAUACAUAGUUUGAAAGAAAUGAAUAAAACGGCUGUUUUCGACUCGCUGUACGACCGCCGUUGAGCAAAUGUGACUACUAAGGACGUCAAAUUUUAUAGAACAUAUUUUAAUAGAAAACUGGAAAGGAUUGAUAUUAAGUCCAACGAAAUUACUUAAAGCCAGAUUUAUUCUCAAAUUGAUCAAUAAAUUUACCCCAUACUUUCUA